GCCGUGGUGGUGGAAUGGUAUACACGGAGGUCUCAAAAACCUCUGGGCAAUUAGCCUGUGUGGGUUCGACUCCCACCCACGGCACCA
rnacentral:tRNA from 1 species